GUUCUGCUUCCGUUGGAUUAAUCCUUACAACGAUGGGUAUCCCCAUAUCUUCAUCCGCUGCCUGUAGUACCUCCUGGUACUUUUUCUGAUCUCUCUUCAGUUAUUGCUUCCUGGUAAUGACCAUAGGAACGCAAUGGUCCUCGUCAGCCUCUCUCAUUACCUGACAGUAUCUUUCAUCCUCUUUCUCCUGCCUCCUUCUUUCUCUCUCUCUAAUUACAAUUCUAAGAUCUUGUUGUUCUUCCUCCUGC
rnacentral:lncRNA from 1 species